rnacentral:rRNA from 1 species
UACGUAGGCAGCAAGCGUUGUUCGGAGUUACUGGGCGUAAAGGGUGCGUAGGCGGUCCUAUAAGUAUGGUGUGAAAUCUCCCGGCUUAACUGGGAGGGUGCGCUAUAGACUGUGGGACUAGAGUGUGGGAGAGGAAAGUGGAAUUCCUGGUGUAGCGGUGAAAUGCGUAGAGAUUAGGAAGAACACCAGUGGCGAAGGCGACUUACUGGACUGUAACUGACGCUGAGGCAUGAAAGCGUGGGGAGCAAACAGG